UUAAGUUAUUAAGGGCGCACGGUGGAUGCCUUGGCACUAGAAGCCGAUGAAGGACGUUACUAACGACGAUAUGCUUUGGGGAGCUGUAAGUAAGCUUUGAUCCAGAGAUUUCUGAAUGGGGAAACCCAGCAUGAGUUAUGUCAUGUUAUCGAUAUGUGAAUACAUAGCAUAUCAGAAGGCACACCCGGAGAACUGAAACAUCUUAGUACCCGGAGGAAGAGAAAGAAAAUUCGAUUCCCUUAGUAGCGGCGAGCGAAACGGGAAGAGCCCAAACCAACAAGCUUGCUUGUUGGGGUUGUAGGACACUCUAUACGGAGUUACAAAGGACGACAUUAGACGAAUCAUCUGGAAAGAUGAAUCAAAGAAGGUAAUAAUCCUGUAGUCGAAAAUGUUGUCUCUCUUGAGUGGAUCCUGAGUACGACGGAGCACGUGAAAUUCCGUUGGAAUCUGGGAGGACCAUCUCCUAAGGCUAAAUACUCUCUAGUGACCGAUAGUGAACCAGUACCGUGAGGGAAAGGUGAAAAGCACCCCGGAAGGGGAGUGAAAUAGAACCUGAAACCGUGUGCUUACAAGUAGUCAGAGCCCGUUAAUGGGUGAUGGCGUGCCUUUUGUAGAAUGAACCGGCGAGUUACGAUUUGAUGCAAGGUUAAGCAGUAAAUGUGGAGCCGUAGCGAAAGCGAGUCUGAAUAGGGCGUUUAGUAUUUGGUCGUAGACCCGAAACCAGGUGAUCUACCCUUGGUCAGGUUGAAGUUCAGGUAACACUGAAUGGAGGACCGAACCGACUUACGUUGAAAAGUGAGCGGAUGAACUGAGGGUAGCGGAGAAAUUCCAAUCGAACCUGGAGAUAGCUGGUUCUCUCCGAAAUAGCUUUAGGGCUAGCCUCAAGUGAUGAUUAUUGGAGGUAGAGCACUGUUUGGACGAGGGGCCCCUCUCGGGUUACCGAAUUCAGACAAACUCCGAAUGCCAAUUAAUUUAACUUGGGAGUCAGAACAUGGGUGAUAAGGUCCGUGUUCGAAAGGGAAACAGCCCAGACCACCAGCUAAGGUCCCAAAAUAUAUGUUAAGUGGAAAAGGAUGUGGCGUUGCCCAGACAACUAGGAUGUUGGCUUAGAAGCAGCCAUCAUUUAAAGAGUGCGUAAUAGCUCACUAGUCGAGUGACACUGCGCCGAAAAUGUACCGGGGCUAAACAUAUUACCGAAGCUGUGGAUUGUCCUUUGGACAAUGGUAGGAGAGCGUUCUAAGGGCGUUGAAGCAUGAUCGUAAGGACAUGUGGAGCGCUUAGAAGUGAGAAUGCCGGUGUGAGUAGCGAAAGACGGGUGAGAAUCCCGUCCACCGAUUGACUAAGGUUUCCAGAGGAAGGCUCGUCCGCUCUGGGUUAGUCGGGUCCUAAGCUGAGGCCGACAGGCGUAGGCGAUGGAUAACAGGUUGAUAUUCCUGUACCACCUAUAAUCGUUUUAAUCGAUGGGGGGACGCAGUAGGAUAGGCGAAGCGUGCGAUUGGAUUGCACGUCUAAGCAGUAAGGCUGAGUAUUAGGCAAAUCCGGUACUCAUUAAGGCUGAGCUGUGAUGGGGAGAAGACAUUGUGUCUUCGAGUCGUUGAUUUCACACUGCCGAGAAAAGCCUCUAGAUAGAAAAUAGGUGCCCGUACCGCAAACCGACACAGGUAGUCAAGAUGAGAAUUCUAAGGUGAGCGAGCGAACUCUCGUUAAGGAACUCGGCAAAAUGACCCCGUAACUUCGGGAGAAGGGGUGCUCUUUAGGGUUAACGCCCAGAAGAGCCGCAGUGAAUAGGCCCAAGCGACUGUUUAUCAAAAACACAGGUCUCUGCUAAACCGUAAGGUGAUGUAUAGGGGCUGACGCCUGCCCGGUGCUGGAAGGUUAAGAGGAGUGGUUAGCUUCUGCGAAGCUACGAAUCGAAGCCCCAGUAAACGGCGGCCGUAACUAUAACGGUCCUAAGGUAGCGAAAUUCCUUGUCGGGUAAGUUCCGACCCGCACGAAAGGCGUAACGAUUUGGGCACUGUCUCAACGAGAGACUCGGUGAAAUCAUAGUACCUGUGAAGAUGCAGGUUACCCGCGACAGGACGGAAAGACCCCGUGGAGCUUUACUGUAGCCUGAUAUUGAAAUUCGGCACAGCUUGUACAGGAUAGGUAGGAGCCUUUGAAACGUGAGCGCUAGCUUACGUGGAGGCGCUGGUGGGAUACUACCCUAGCUGUGUUGGCUUUCUAACCCGCACCACUUAUCGUGGUGGGAGACAGUGUCAGGCGGGCAGUUUGACUGGGGCGGUCGCCUCCUAAAAGGUAACGGAGGCGCUCAAAGGUUCCCUCAGAAUGGUUGGAAAUCAUUCAUAGAGUGUAAAGGCAUAAGGGAGCUUGACUGCGAGACCUACAAGUCGAGCAGGGUCGAAAGACGGACUUAGUGAUCCGGUGGUUCCGUAUGGAAGGGCCAUCGCUCAACGGAUAAAAGCUACCCCGGGGAUAACAGGCUUAUCUCCCCCAAGAGUUCACAUCGACGGGGAGGUUUGGCACCUCGAUGUCGGCUCAUCGCAUCCUGGGGCUGUAGUCGGUCCCAAGGGUUGGGCUGUUCGCCCAUUAAAGCGGUACGCGAGCUGGGUUCAGAACGUCGUGAGACAGUUCGGUCCCUAUCCGUCGUGGGCGUAGGAAAUUUGAGAGGAGCUGUCCUUAGUACGAGAGGACCGGGAUGGACAUACCUCUGGUGUACCAGUUGUCGUGCCAACGGCAUAGCUGGGUAGCUAUGUGUGGACGGGAUAAGUGCUGAAAGCAUCUAAGCAUGAAGCCCCCCUCAAGAUGAGAUUUCCCAACUUCGGUUAUAAGAUCCCUCAAAGAUGAUGAGGUUAAUAGGUUCGAGGUGGAAGCAUGGUGACAUGUGGAGCUGACGAAUACUAAUCGAUCGAAGACUUAAUCAA
rnacentral:rRNA from 1 species